UGGGGAAUUUUGGACAAUGGGGGAAACCCUGAUCCAGCCAUCCCGCGUGUGCGAUGAAGGCCUUCGGGUUGUAAAGCACUUUUGGCAGGAAAGAAACGUCAUGGGUUAAUACCCCGUGAAACUGACGGUACCUGCAGAAUAAGCACCGGCUAACUACGUGCCAGCAGCCGCGGUAAUACGUAGGGUGCAAGCGUUAAUCGGAAUUACUGGGCGUAAAGCGUGCGCAGGAGGUUCGGAAAGAAAGAUGUGAAAUCCCAGAGCUCAACUUUGGAACUGCAUUUUUAACUACCGGGCUAGAGUGUGUCAGAGGGAGGUGGAAUUCCGCGUGUAGCAGUGAAAUGCGUAUAUAUGCGGAGGAACACCGAUGGCGAAGGCAGCCUCCUGGGAUAACACUGACGCUCAUGCACGAAAGCGUGGGGAGCAAACAGG
rnacentral:rRNA from 1 species